rnacentral:SRP_RNA from 1 species
CCGUGCUAGGCGGGGAACUAGCGGUGCCCUGUAGCCUGCAAUCCGCUCCAGCAGGGCCGAAUCCCCUCUCGAGGUCUCCGCUCUCGGUCGCCGCCGGACAGUGCGACGUUGAGGAUCGGGUCCCGCGCAGCGACGAACCGCGAACCGUGUCAGGUCCGGAAGGAAGCAGCACUAAGCGAUCAUCGUCGGGUGCCGCGGAACGGCCUGCUCCGAGCCGCCCGUCUCGGUGGGCCCGGGAGCGUGUUGAUCGAAGGAGGGUGCACGG